GAUCGAAGAUUGGAUUGUCAAGAUGUAUAUACACAAUUUAAGUGUGAGGGCAUCGCUUGUCAUUGAACAACACUUACAAGAGGCGGGAUUCUUGAAUGUGUCUUGUAUGCUCAGGGGGACUAAAUUGGAGUCCUGGAAAGAUGGAGACCUGAGACACACUUUCCAUCUUCCGUUCAGUGAAUGUACAUUACACUCGAAGAUGUAGUAUUACAACUCGGUUUACCAAUUGAUGGGUUGGUCGUUACGGGGGUAGUGCGCAUUGGCGAUUGGAACGCAAUUUACUACCAACUAUUAAGUAAGGUGUUGGACAAAUUUAGUGGUAGUCGAAUAGAAAUGAAAUUGUUAGAAUACAAUUUCUCAUAUCUCGACAACUCCUCUAAUGCGGUUGAAAGACAACAUUUCGCGUGAGCAUUCAUAUUGAGGUUAAUCGGUGGUCUUUUAAUGCCAGAUAAAUUUCGAAAUUUGGUACAUUUAAGGUGACUCCUACAACUAGUCGACUUAAAUGAAGCCGGGCCACUCAGUUGGGGAUCAACUGUAUUGGCGACAUUUAUCGAGAGAUUUGUCGGGCAACGGAAGCACAAAAAAAUAAAACCAGUGGUUGCAUACUCCUUCAGUCAUGAGCAUGGUAUCGCUUACCAUUUUUAUGUCCCCGAGUAAACUUUCGUUAUCAAUUCUCACUCGUAAUAAGGUAAGAUUCAUUUAAUAAUAUAGUUAUCAUGUUUUUUUCAUUAUUAUAAUUUUGAAAUAACAUAUAAUUUGAAUAAGUAGAAUAAUGACAAGAGUCAUGUGGGGAUAUCGAAUAAGCUCAAAGAUAUCUGACUUUUGUUAUAUCAACAACCAGAAGUCGAGGUUAGUUUUUGAAAUUUUCAAUUAUAUAAUAUUACAUAAAGAUUUGAAAUUUAAUAUUAGGUACGUUAUAAAAUUUAUAAUUUCGUACUGUAGUUUGAAUGGAUGUCAUACUCUAAUAUGAAAAUUCAAGAAUGAAUCCCGAACGAAUUUUUGCAAAUCGCAAUAUCUGACACGUCAAAGGUCCAUUGAUAAUGUUUGCAACGAUUGAGAUGCAUGAAUUUGAUCAAAUGAUGCGUCAGUUCGGGUUUAUGCAAAGAAUUUUGCUGUUACCCUAGGAGUUCGAUGACUUCACAAAAUCGACUUGCGAGGGAGAACUAAUGAAGAUUGGCCUAAAUUUCAUGCCAAAUAUAUUUAUAUUUGGGAACAUAGAUUUCACGGUAAGCCAUAUCUAUUGUUGGAGAAGGAAAGUAAUAGACAAGUUCGUCGUAGAAGGCCAACACAACCCUACAUGAGGCUGUUAUCGGGAAUACAUGUGUCGAGUUCAUCAUUAUCAGCUCCAACCCCAAAUACUAUACCAAUGGAUACACCACCUCCCGGCUGAGUUUGUAACACAUUGCCCGGUGGGGUCUUAGUUGGCAGAUUGUGUGGGCGGAUUGUUGGCUAAGUUUGAGUUUGAGAAGGCAAAAUGUGCCCUAUCCGCCAGGUUAAGUUAGUGCUGGUUGUCGCGCCAUGAUUGACGCAUUGUUUGGCUAAACAGGUAAGUCUGUAAAAACUUGGUUGAAGAUUCAUCUUUUGGUGAAGUGUAGACUAUUGGUUUAUAUUUCUUUGCAUGGUUAGUGUGGAGAACCCGCCAAUCAGCAGAUUCUCUUGGACAACUUUGUGUUGGCGAACCCUUCUGUCAGUAUCCGUCUAGUGGUUUAUUUCAUUGGCGUGUAGAAUCCACCUGUGGUGGAUUGCUGGAUCAUAAACCCGACAAUUUUUUUGUAAGCGCGAUGGGUAAUACUACAAUUGUGAAAUAGUUUACCUUGCUUACUUGUGGCACAUGGGUAUACUGUUCAGUCUUAGUUUGUUCCUUAUUAAGAUCUAGUUGGAAAUCAACUAGAGUGAAAAACUGUUUACUAUAGGAUUGUCUAUAGAUUGAUAUGUCGGCCACCAAAAGGUGUUGAAUCAGCUUUGAAUUGUUAGCCACGUGUAGGGUUAUUGUGAGGUUUGUGGGAGGUUUCCUUUUUGUUUUUUUUUUCUCUUGUAUCCCGAGAAAUAGGGAGUUAUUUAACGGAGAAGAACUUAUAAGUGUCCGAGAAGCAAGAGAAGGCUGUGGAGUGUAGCAGAAGACUUUGUGUUGUAACCAGCUUCUUUGAGACCUUCUAUGAGUCUACAAUAUGUGUGAGUAUCCAGCUUGUGUGAGUCUUUUGUGAGUCUCCUUCGAGUCCUUGUAUACUGUUAGUUCCUGGGUUAUCAUAGUUAAAGGCUACGAAUACAGGUAAAACCGUCUUCUUUGAAACGUGGUAAGCUAUUGCAUGUAACCAUCUACAUGUGCAUGUAAGUGAUAAGAAACAGACACAAAUUCCUUGGUGCGCAAGCUCGAUAUCCAAAAAAGUGAUAUGGGCCACUGGUAAGGCAUGUCAGCUGCUAACAAUAAUGGCGGAUGAGAUGGACCACUAGUAGGGCAUGUUAGUUGCUAACCAGACUGACGGAUAAGGGAUCACUAAUAGGGCAUGUUAGUUGCUAAACAGAAUGGCGGAUAUGUCGGGUCACUGGGAGGGCAUGUUAUUUGUUAAACCAGUCUAGCGAUAUAGGUUUUGCCAUCGGUAGGGCAUGUUAAUUGUUAACCAUGACAGAACGCUCUGACCUUGUAAGGAAACACGCAUAUGUUCAAAAUAACAAGGAUUGAGAUAUCGAUUUUGAAGCGUAAAUAUGGGAUCUGAGGCUAGCACAAGAAAGGGUGUGAAAAAGAGUAAGAAAAUGUGAACACUGAUAUGUUGCACGAGGUGCAUGUUAUGACAAUGUGAAUCUGGACUUAUUGCAUGUAAUGCAUGUUAUGUAUAUUUAAAGUGAGGAAUGAGACUGCCAAAAAGGAAUGUUUGAUUAUGUAGUUGCAUUGCAUGUAAUAUUGCAUGAUAAGUGUUAUGUCAUAAUCUUGUUAAUGUGAUUUGGACGAAGCAUAUCCACCAGCCUGUUAUAUGCUUAGCGUAUGGCAUCCAUUAAGCGAGAGUUAUACUCAGUGGUGUAUAAUAUCUGUCAACUAAUAUGUCUGGAAUGAUAGUGGUAUGAGUUGGUAGUAUUUGUGUCCAUCAAGGUAAAGUAUCAGUUGAUGUUAAUGAAACUGUUCUCUGGGAAAGUAGUUGCGGACCGUGUUUGCCAGACGAUAGUGUCCGCCAAACGAUACUAUCUACCAUUGUUGCAUGUAAGAGGGUAUACACCUAGUUGUUUCUGCGUGAAGUUUGUUGGCUUAUCAUUGUUUAUUUAUAUGUUCAUUCCGUUCAUGAAACCUGAUUGGAAAGGGUUGAGUUUUUUUUUUUGGAGCUUACAAGUUCUUUCGAACUUACUCAUUUUCUUUCCCUUUUCCAAGUAAUACCACGACGUAGAGGGCUCGAGGAAGGGACUCAGCAAAAAAAGCGACAAUAAUUAUGAAAAUACCAAAUCAAAUUAAAUAUGAUCUCUUAAUAGGAAUAAAAUUAUUACCUCCAAUAAUUACGAAAAUA